AUAUCCUUUCAAGUUUUAAACUAUCAUAUCAGACUUGUCGCUGAAGCAACUAUGCUCAUUUUUCAGAUGAGUAAAUGUUCAACACAUUACUAAAAAUUGUCUUAGUAGAGUAGAUCUCCAUUAUAGGGAAGAACUUGUACAUUAGCGGGUUCUGAUUUGGACGAAUUCUGGCAAAUAAUGGGGAAGUCAUUGAACUGGUUAAUAAGCUCCUACCUGGAGCUAGUACAUUUAUUGUGCCAUUCAUACAUACAAGCCAGCAUCAAACACAUUAUUGUCUAGUUGUUACUGUUACUACGAAGUUUUUGAGAAAAUAGAUGGCUUGCUAAUUCUAUAUGCUAUUUUUGUUUACAGAGAAUUAGACUGGGCCUUUUUGCUUUUAAAUAAAGACUUUAGUAUUUUAUGUAUGAAUUGGAACCAACUAAGAUGCUUAUUCUUGGACUAGGGAAUACGUGACACACUGUAACCUGUGAAUACUUCACUACCUUAGGAAACAGACAAACCUUAGAAGUUCAACCGAAGGCUAGGGGGAAUUGACAUAAGGCAAGAACUUAUUAAGUUUUAUGAAGAAAAUUACUCUGCCAACCUCAUGCGUUUGGUUGUAUACGGCAAAGGAUCUCUUGAUAAAAUCCAUGAUCUAGUAGUCCAAAAGUUCAACGCUAUUUCCAACAACAAGCGGAGCUUUUUGCAUAUUUCUGGUCAUCCCUGUUUAUGGGAACAAUUACUGGUCCAUUUCUGCAGUCCGCUCCCAUUUUUUGUUGGAAGACAUUUACAUUCCUCAUUUCCUGUUUGGUAAAAAUUUCUAUCCAGAAGAAAGUUAAAGAAGCUCCUACUUGUUGUCCAGGUUCUUGUUAUAGCCAUUCCAAUAUGUGACGACCACACGCUACAAGUUCAGUGGCCAGUGCCUCACAGCAUUCACCAUUACAAAGAAGUCCCAUGCAGCUACCUCCCCCAUCUUAUAGGCCAUGAGGGAGAAGGAUCUCUGUUUCAUGCCUUAAAAAGAUUAGGUCUGUUUCUCAUGUCAUUUACAUUGCUUAUCUUAUACCAAUCCUCAGGAGGAUUCAUCUUAAUGGUAAUGUUUCUUUCUGCUAGGAUAACCUUCUUGAUUGAGUUAUUUUCUGGUAAUUGCAACUUAAAUAUAUGCAUCUCAUUUCCAUGUAGGAGAUUUUUUUUUUUUUUUUCCCAUGUAUAUGCAGCUCCUCUAUAUUAUGGUUUCUUGCUCCCAGGAUGCUUGAAAUGUCAACUGAAGCAGAAUAGAGUCGUGCUCUAUGCUUUUUCAGUGGGAAGGAAAAGGGUCAUGCUCCAUGCAUCUCUUUUUUCUGCCAGUAUGAGGAGCAUAAGAGUUCAAUUGACCAAAAGAUAUUCUUCAUUUUACCCUCCAUAGAGCAUACGGUGUAUAAACUUUACAAUCUAUUUGAGCGAAUAUUGUUUUUUACUUAUACUUUUUCUUUUUCUUGUC